rnacentral:rRNA from 1 species
GUCUAAACGACUCUCGGCAACGGAUAUCUCGGCUCUCGCAUCGAUGAAGAACGUAGCGAAAUGCGAUACUUGGUGUGAAUUGCAGAAUCCCGUGAACCAUCGAGUCUUUGAACGCAAGUUGCGCCCGAAGCCUUUUGGCUGAGGGCACGUCUGCCUGGGCGUCA